rnacentral:rRNA from 1 species
GACGAACGCUGGCGGCGUGCUUAACACAUGCAAGUCGAACGGGUCUGCCCUGUUUUUUGCGGGGUGGGUCAGUGGCGAACGGGUGAGUAACACGUGAGUAACCUGCCCCUCACUUCUGGAUAACCGCUUGAAAGGGUGGCUAAUACGGGGUGUUCUGGCUGUGCCGCAUGGUGUGGCUGGGAAAGAUUCACUUUUGUGGUGUUUUGGUGGGGGAUGGGCUCGCGGCCUAUCAGCUUGUUGGUGGGGUGAUGGCCUGCCAAGGCUUUGACGGGUAGCCGGCCUGAGAGGGUGGGCGGGCACACUGGGACUGAGAUACGGCCCAGACUCCUGCGGGAGGCAGCAGUGGGGGGUAUUGCACAAUGGGCGGAAGCCUGAUGCAGCGACGUCGCGUGAGGGAUGGAGGCCGUCGGGUUGUGAACCUCUUUCGCCGGUGAAGAAGGUCCUGCUCUUUGUGGUGGGGUUGACGGUAGCCGGGUUAUGAAGCGCCGGCUAACUACGU